UCCCUUCUGAAGUUAUGUGCCCAAUAAAAAAGAACAACCUUCUUCAACAGGAGAACUAUUCUUCAGUCAAGAGUAUAUGAGUAGCUACACUCCCCUGACUAGUAACUCCAAAUAAGCUCUCAAAAUACAUAGAUCAUAGU
rnacentral:sRNA from 1 species